rnacentral:rRNA from 1 species
GGGCUCACACAAGCGGUGGAGCAUGUGGUUCAAUUCGAAGCAACGCGCAGAACCUUACCUGGGCUUGACAUGCCAGGAUUAUCCCCAUGAAAGUGGGGUAGGCCCUUCGGGGUACAACUGGCACAGGUGCUGCAUGGCUGUCGUCAGCUCGUGUCGUGAGAUGUCGGGUUAAGUCCCAUAACGAGCGAAACCUUUGCCCUUAGUUACCAGCGGGUUAUGCCGGGGACUCUAAGGGGACUGCCGGUGUCAAACCGGAGGAAGGUGGAGAUGACGUCAAGUCCUCAUGGCCUUUAUGCCCAGGGCCACACACGUGCUACAAUGGCGUCGACAAAGCGAGCCAAAAGCGUGAGCUUGAGGAAAACGCAUAAAUGACGCCCCAGUUCAGAUCGGAGGCUGCAACCCGCCUCCGUGAAGUUGGAAUCGCUAGUAAUCGCGGAUCAGCUACGCCGCGGUGAAUGUGUUCCUGAGCCUU